rnacentral:rRNA from 1 species
GACGUAGGAGGCGAGCGUUGUCCGGAUUCAUUGGGCGUAAAGAGCGCGCAGGCGGCUUGGUAAGUCGGAUGUGAAAUCCCGAGGCUCAACCUCGGGUCUGCAUCCGAUACUGCCCGGCUAGAGGUAGGUAGGGGAGAUCGGAAUUCCCGGUGUAGCGGUGGAAUGCGUAGAGAUCGGGAAGAACAUCGGUGGCGAAGGCGGCCAGCUGGGCCAUUGCUGACGCUGAUGCGCGACAGCGUGGGGAGCAAACAGG